rnacentral:misc_RNA from 1 species
GAUGAAGAACGUAGCGAAAUGCGAUAAGUAGUGUGAAUUGCAAAUUCAGUGAAUCAUCGAGUCUUUGAACGCACAUUGCGCCCCCUGGUCUUCCGGGGGGCAUGCCUGUCCGAGCGUCAUUGCUGCCCUCAAGCACGGCUUGUGUGUUGGGCCCCGUCCUCCGAUCCCGGGGGACGGGCCCGAAAGGCAGCGGCGGCACCGCGUCCGGUCCUCGAGCGUAUGGGGCUUUGUCACCCGCUCUGUAGGCCCGGCCGGCGCUUGCCGAUCAACCCAAAUUUUUAUCCAGGUUGACCUCGGAUCAGGUAGGGAUACCCGCUGAACUUAAGCAUAUCAAUAAGCGGAGGA